AACGAACGCUGGCGGCAGGCUUAACACAUGCAAGUCGAACGCCCCGCAAGGGGAGUGGCAGACGGGUGAGUAACGCGUGGGAACAUACCCUUUUCUAAGGAAUAGCUCUGGGAAACUGGAAUUAAUACCGUAUACGCCCUACGGGGGAAAGAUUUAUCGGGGAAGGAUUGGCCCGCGUUGGAUUAGCUAGUUGGUGGGGUAAAGGCCUACCAAGGCGACGAUCCAUAGCUGGUCUGAGAGGAUGAUCAGCCACAUUGGGACUGAGACACGGCCCAAACUCCUACGGGAGGCAGCAGUGGGGAAUAUUGGACAAUGGGCGCAAGCCUGAUCCAGCCAUGCCGCGUGAGUGAUGAAGGCCUUAGGGUUGUAAAGCUCUUUCACCGAUGAAGAUAAUGACGGUAGUCGGAGAAGAAGCCCCGGCUAACUUCGUG
rnacentral:rRNA from 1 species